rnacentral:tRNA from 1 species
AAAAAUAUAAUUUAUAAUAAAAUAUUUGAAUUGCAAUCAAAAAUUACCCAUUAAACAGGUUAAUCUUA